rnacentral:rRNA from 1 species
GCAGUAGCCGCGGUAAUACGGAGGGUGCAAGCGUUAUCCGGAUUUAUUGGGUUUAAAGGGUCCGUAGGCGGACUUAUAAGUCAGUGGUGAAAGCCUGUCGCUUAACGAUAGAACUGCCAUUGAUACUGUAAGUCUUGAGUAUAUUUGAGGUAGCUGGAAUAAGUAGUGUAGCGGUGAAAUGCAUAGAUAUUACUUAGAACACCAAUUGCGAAGGCAGGUUACCAAGAUAUAACUGACGCUGAGGGACGAAAGCGUGGGUAGCGAACAGGAUUAGAUACCCCGGUAGUCCCUGUCUCUUAUAC